rnacentral:rRNA from 1 species
UGCAGUCGAGCGCCGUAGCAAUACGGAGCGGCAGACGGGUGAGUAACGCGUGGGAACGUGCCUUUUGGUUCGGAACAACUGAGGGAAACUUCAGCUAAAACCGGAUAAGCCCUUCGGGGGAAAGUUUACGCCAAAAGAUCGGCCCGCGUCAGAUUAGCUAGUUGGUGGGGUAAUGGCCUACCAAGGCGACGAUCUGUAGCUGUUCUGAGAGGAAGAUCAGCCACAUUGGGACUGAGACACGGCCCAAACUCCUACGGGAGGCAGCAGUGGGGAAUAUUGGACAAUGGGCGCAAGCCUGAUCCAGCUAUGCCGCGUGGAUGAAGAAGGCCCUAGGGUUGUAAAGUCCUUUCGUUGGUGAAGAUAAUGACGGUAACCAAAGAAGAAGCCCCGGCUAAUUUCGUGCCAGCAGCCGCGGUAAUACGAAAGGGGCUAGCGUUGUUCGGAAUUACUGGGCGUAAAGCGCACGUAGGCGGCCUUGUAAGAUGGGGGUGAAAUCCCUGGGCUCAACCCAGGAACUGCCUUCAUGACUGCAAAGCUUGAGGAUGUGAGAGGUUGGCGGAAUUCCGAGUGUAGAGGUGAAAUUCGUAGAUAUUCGGAAGAACACCAGUGGCGAAGGCGGCCAACUGGCACAUUUCUGACGCUGAGGUGCGAAAGCAUGGGGAGCAAACAGGAUUAGAUACCCUGGUAGUCCACGCUGUAAACGAUGGGGGCUAGUUGUCGGCGCGCUUGCGUGUCGGUGACGCAGCUAACGCUUUAAGCCCCCCGCCUGGGGAGUACGGUCGCAAGAUUAAAACUCAAAGGAAUUGACGGGGGCCCGCACAAGCGGUGGAGCAUGUUGGUUUAAUUCGAAGCAACGCGAAGAACCUUACCAGCCCUUGACUUGUCCUGGAACCGUAGCAGAGAUGCACGCGGGUGCCGUAAGGAACCAGGAACACAGGUGUUGCAUGGCUGUCGUCAGCU